GACGAACCGAGCGAACGUUGUUCGGAAUCACUGGGCUUAAAGGGCGCGUAGGCGGGUGCUCAAGUCCGGGGUGAAAUCCUCCAGCUCAACUGGAGAACUGCCUCGGAUACUGGGUGCCUCGAGGGUGGUAGGGGUAUGCGGAACUAUCGGUGGAGCGGUGAAAUGCGUUGAUAUCGAUAGGAACACCUGCGGCGAAGGCGGGUUGCUGGGCUGACACUGACGCUGAAGCGCGAAAGCUAGGGGAGCGAACGGG
rnacentral:rRNA from 1 species